UCCAAUGGAGCGCUCCCUCCCCACCCACGCCUCCUCAGAUCCUCCGCAGGAGGCCACCGAGCGGCGACCCCCAUGCGGUCCGCGGCAGGCCCGCGCACCACACAGGGACCACACGCAGGGCGGCGGCUCGACGCUCCAGCGCGCAGCCUCGUCUUCGCAAGGAGCGGGCGGACAGGCAGGCAGCGGCUUGGCGGCGGCGCGCGGCUACCCCUCCGCGAGGUGCCGGCGGAAGGGAAGCAGCGGCUCGGCGGCGGGCAGCUCCGCCUCCGCCUCCGCGAGACACAGGCGGAAGAUCAGGCAGCGGCCGAUGAUAGCUCAGCGCUCGCGCGCGGCUCUGUCGCAUCCCAUCGAAGAAAGGUGCCUAGAUCCGACCUCAACCUCUCCUCCUUCCGCCGGAGCGCUGGGGCCGCUCCUUAUCAGAACUGCUCGAGAUCCACCCCGCGAGAUCUACUCAAGUUCGCCGUGCCGGGCCGAGAUUCCAUGGCGCUGCAGCUCCGACGUUGAGACAUCCAGCCCCCUGGUUGCAGUUCCCCUGAUGAUGAAGGCAUCCUUGUCGAUGGAACGGAUGAUGUGCAGGGGGAAGAUGGUAUUGCUACUUUAAUCCCAUGAUUGUACUGCAUGAUCGGAAGUUCAGACUGUGAGUAUGCAGCUUUGAAAUAGCUGAGUAACUUGGAGCUAAUAAUGGCCCUUUUAAUAACAUGUGACUAUACAUACAAAGCUAUCUACAUUUUAGUAUCAGCUUAGUUUAGUAUCAGGACUGAAUGGUCCCAGUAUGCCUCUUUUUUACAUGAGGUUAGUCUUCUUGUUCUGAAAAACAUCCUGAAACUUAGCUUAAUUUGAGUUGGGAUUCUGGAAGUAUAAUAAUCACUUAGCUUCCUUUCUGAUGUGUUACUAGAAGCAUGGAUGCUUAAUUUAAAAUGUGAGUCUAUCCUGAAAGCUGAAAUGAAUGAAAGAUAACUCAGCUUCCAUCUAAGAUAACUGCAUCUGAAAUUUGAAAACUGUAACUUUCUGUUAACUUCGAUGACAUUUGCAGCUGAUUGCAUUCAUCCAAUUUUACAAUGAUGACAUGUCUGUUCUUUCUUUCGAUCUGUUCUUUUCUUUCGAUCAUAUUUGGAUAGCAACACCAAGGUCUUCAGGUACAAAAUGUGACCCUCUGCUACAGACUCUUCGUCUGAAUCAAACAACCUGUUUAUCCAUGUGUUUUUUUCAGUUACACUCUUGGAUCAGGAUAACUACAUAGCUACAUGCAAAAGCCAUGAUUGGCUUGGCAGACUUUGCAAUUGCCGAAGCUGUCAAUUUCGUAGUAGAUCAGAGAGGCAGGGUUCAACAACACUGAGAGAAUGGAUGACCAGCAAUGUGAGCUAGAAGUCCUGAAGCUGAAGUUCCAGAAAUCUGAAGCAGCAAGGGAGAAUCAAUGGGGAGAGAUAGAAAGUUUGAAGAAACAAGGAGAGGAAAGCAAUGUGGUUGGAUAGUUGUUUCGGCUUUACGGUGGCUGGUAUAUACUUUUUGGCUAUGAGUCUAUAGAGUUAUCUUGGCUGUUCGGUGAACCUGUUAUGGAGUGGAGCGACUUGUCUUUUUUUUUGGGUGGUUUAUGGAGUGAAGUGAUGUUGGCUGAGUUAUGCAUGAAUCUGGUGGUUUUUGGCA